rnacentral:sRNA from 1 species
UUUUCAAAUCAAAGCCGACUAGCUGUAACUUAGUUUCUGUAUGAUUCGUGACGUGAUUCAAGAACAGAACAAAUUAAAGAACGAUUUAU